AACUCUUUUUUAGUAUUCACUCUUACUCUGAUCAGAGAUUUUUUGAACUUAAUCUUAUGAAUCGCACAGAACUUCUCCUUUUCUAUCAAGGUUGAUAGAUUCCAUCUAGGUACAUCCUACUCCAAAUAGUGAAUCUGAACCUAUAAUAGCCAACAUAUACAGUAAAGAUCUGAAUGGCUAGAGACCAAGAAAAUGUGCAGUCAAACUAAGUAGCCUCGCUGUGAAUAGCCAACACACCAUAGGUCAAAGAACCAGUCACAUCACUGCAGCAUCAAGAAAAUCACUAACGAGUGAGUAGACAUUCAAGUGGUUUCUCGUAUUGGUCACAUUCAGUGCAAAUUAUUCUUUAAGAACCACCUACACUCUCACCCCAGUGUCUCUACACCACAGACUCGAGACUCAUCUGUCCUAAAGAGAGGUGAUCCGUGCACCGAUCUUGAUCCGUACAUUGAUCUUGAAUGGAUUGAUCACUAUCCUUUAUGAUGGUCCUUCGAUCGGAAGCAUUUAGAAAUUAACCACUAAUGAUGUAUGUCUCAAAUUUUUAAUACCUUGAGAAUAUACAAGAUCAUCUUUGUUAAUUUUUAAGAUAAAUUAUGGAUACAUAAGACAUGAUUGGUUAUAAAGACUGCCCAUCAACUAUAAAACAUGCUCUAGAGAAAAGUAUGUGUCAGUCA
rnacentral:lncRNA from 1 species